GUGGGGAAUUUUGGACAAUGGGCGCAAGCCUGAUCCAGCAAUGCCGCGUGCAGGAAGAAGGCCUUCGGGUUGUAAACUGCUUUUGUACGGAACGAAACGGUCCUGGUUAAUACCUGGGGCUAAUGACGGUACCGUAAGAAUAAGCACCGGCUAACUACGUGCCAGCAGCCGCGGUAAUACGUAGGGUGCGAGCGUUAAUCGGAAUUACUGGGCGUAAAGCGUGCGCAGGCGGUGCUGUAAGACAGGCGUGAAAUCCCCGGGCUCAACCUGGGAAUUGCGCUUGUGACUGCAGUGCUGGAGUACGGCAGAGGGGGAUGGAAUUCCGCGUGUAGCAGUGAAAUGCGUAGAUAUCAGGAGGAACACCGAUGGCGAAGGCAGCCCCCUGGGCCUGUACUGACGCUCAUGCACGAAAGCGUGGGGAGCAAACAGGAUUAGAUACCCGAGUAGUCC
rnacentral:rRNA from 1 species